rnacentral:rRNA from 1 species
CAGCCGCCGCGGUAAUACGAAGGGGGCUAGCGUUGUUCGGAAUUACUGGGCGUAAAGGGCGCGUAGGCGGCCAUUCAAGUUAGAUGUGAAAGCCCUGGGCUCAACCUAGGAAUUGCAUUUGAUACUGUUUGGCUUGAGUUCGGGAGAGGUGAGUGGAAUUCCCAGUGUAGAGGUGAAAUUCGUAGAUAUUGGGAAGAACACCAGUGGCGAAGGCGGCUCACUGGACCGACACUGACGCUGAGGCGCGAGAGCGUGGGGAGCAAACAGGAUUAGAUACCCGCGUAGUCCCUGUCUCUUAUAC